rnacentral:rRNA from 1 species
UACGGAGGAUGCAAGCGUUAUCCGGAAUGAUUGGCGUAAAGCGUCCGUAGGUGGCUAUUCAAGUCUGCUGUUAAAGCGCAGGGCUUAACCCUGUAAAGGCGGUGGAAACUGGAGAGCUAGAGUGUGGUAGGGGUAGAGGGAAUUCCCGGUGUAGCGGUGAAAUGCGUAGAGAUCGGGAAGAACACCAGUGGCGAAAGCGCUCUACUGGGCCACAACUGACACUGAUGGACGAAAGCUAGGGGAGCGAAUGGG